CUUGGACAAAGGGGGAAAAGAGGCAGAUGGGCACUUGGAUCCACCCAGGCCCCACCCAACCUCUCACACACAUAAGCCAUCAACGACACAACCAACCGCCAGCAACUCUGAUCAAACCCUUCUGUCGCCGCAAAACAACCACCAUACACCCGGCGACGCAGCCCUUUUCUAGUUAUUCUAGGGUUUUCAGCUUCUCCAAUUUUUCUGCGUCUCUCAUACCUAGGUCGGUGUCGUUGCCUCCCUUCGACGUCUCUCUCAGAUUGAUUGAGAGGCCGUUGAGUUCGGAUUUUUGGCUGUCGUUGAGGCCCGUUGUGGUUUGGUUCGCGUUUCUGCUUGAAGUUUGAUUAUCGUGUCUAGUUCUGGUCGCGACUGUCCCUUUGCUUCUGUCCGUGAAUUGCUGAAAUUAUUCUAAUUGAAAGUAUUAUUUUCAGGAUCUCAUAGAAUCAUUUGGUGAUCAUCUUGGCAUGCAGGCGCAACAGCUGAUGGGACCUUAUGGUGAGUUGUUUUCCAUGUUAUGCACCGUAGCCCAUAAAGUCUUCAUCUUAUUUACUUACUUUAUCUUGUCUAUUUUAUAUUCUAGACAGAUGUUGUAUUAUUAUGACACUCUUUAGUAGAUGGUCAUGCACUUGUGACAUCGGAUUUUGGGAUAUUCUAAUUGAUGUUACAGAAUUGCAUAACAUUGUCACCUUUUGUUUUAAUAUCUUACUAAUUAUGUAUGUACCCAUGAUUUUA